UGGAUGGGAUGGCUGGAAAAACAGCAUCAAGUUUAAAAUGGGCAAUUACAGGACCAAGAUGAGAAGGGCUGGAUGUCAGGAGGUCGCUGUAAAUGCUGGGAAAAGAAGCCGAAAAAACCCUGAGAAUGAACCUUCACACUCCAUCAUCAAAAGGCCUAAGUGUGCAGAGGUCAACUUUCUGCCUAACUUUCCUCAAGGAGAGGAUCCCUCAAGCCUUGACCUUUUGAGGCAGGCUAUUGUCGAGGAAGUAAAGAAGACUGAGAGAAACCUACCCCUUAUUAGUAAGAUGAUGCAGAACACGUUUGCCUUGCGACGACAGACUAUUGUAAUGUCCUGCCCACCGGUGAAAGAGCUAAUGGACCUCUGGCCUGCUCUUCAUAUGCAGUCUGAGGUAUAUGUAGAGUUCCAACGGAUAACUAACCAGAACCUACCUAACACUUUCUAUGCCGAGCUUGAUCGCCACACUCCUCGUUUGAUGGCCUUAUUUAGACAGAAAGCUUCCAAAACUGAAAAGACUGCAGAUGCUUUGGCAAACAUUUUCAAAGUCCAUGAUACACAGGAAUUACAUGAUGUCCACACAAAGGCGUACCACUGUUCUCCAUGCCCUUCCUGAUUAUCUACUAGAGGAAGUCUCUGUAUUUUUCAGAACAUGUGUGGAUGAUAUGGAUGAGCCAGACCUGUGGGAUGCAUCAGUGGUCCUCCUUACAACAGUCAGUGAUGAUGCCACAAGCCCAGUUCACUACCACCCAGUGAGAGUCUCUGUCGUCCUAGAGGGUGAUGUGGUUGUCAAUCUCCCCAGGCUUGCUGAUGCCUUCCUGGUAAUGUUCGGCCUGAUUUAUGCACUACAUCUCAGCUAUCCCAAGGGACUGACAAACACUUUUGAGUUCACACAGAAAAUCUUGCUUGGUCUUGAUGACUCUAAACUGUCACCCAAGCUGCAGACUCUUAAAAAUGAGCUGAUGUUGUAUGUGUAACUGAAGAUCCAAAAAGGAGUGGUGGAUUCUGAUGGCUCACUCUGUUAGAGCAUAAUCCAUAAUGAGAAUAUGUCAUGUCAGGUCCAUGUUGAAUACUGUUCAACUGUUUAUGUUAAAGUUGCUGCUCUACUCAACUGGUUUUCAGCCAAAUGGCACAAAGUACACACUGUCUUUGUACAUUUUAAUGUACAUUUUAUUGUUGUUAAAACUGAAAUUCAGGGUUGAAUUAAGUGUUUAUAUAUGGAGGAUAUUUUUAUUCAUAAUUCAAAUUGAAAGGCCAAAGGGAAAACGAAGCGAGAUCAAAUUAAAAAUAUUAUUAUUAUACUACACUACUAGGAAAAAUCAUGCCAUAAUUAAAUUUAAAAUGUCAAAUUUAAAAUACAAAGCUUCAACUGUCAGCUGGAAGUCGUUUCAGACCCUCCCACCAGCCGUUGGGCCAUGCCUCCUCAUUUAAAUUGACACCUGUCACUUCUAAAUGAAAAGCUUAAAUCAAAAUGUAAAAGGUGAAUCUGAAAAUGUCAAUGUCAAAUG